rnacentral:rRNA from 1 species
ACUCCUACGGGAGGCAGCAGUGGGGAAUAUUGCACAAUGGGCGAAAGCCUGAUGCAGCCAUGCCGCGUGUGUGAAGAAGGCCUUCGGGUUGUAAAGCACUUUCAGCGAGGAGGAAAGGUUGACGGUUAAUACCCGUCAGCUGUGACGUUACUCGCAGAAGAAGCACCGGCUAACUCCGUGCCAGCAGCCGCGGUAAAUACGGAGGGUGCGAGCGUUAAUCGGAAUUACUGGGCGUAAAGCGCAUGCAGGCGGCCAAGUCAGUCAGAUGUGAAAGCCCCGGGCUUAACCUGGGAAUUGCAUUUGAAACUGCUUGGACUAGAGUCCUUGAGAGGGGGGUAGAAUUUCAGGUGUAGCGGUGAAAUGCGUAGAGAUCUAGAAGGAAUACCAGUGGCGAAGGCGGACCCCCUGGCAAGAGACUGACGCUC